UCAGGGGGGCACCAUGCCCCUCUCUCCAGCCUCCGGCCAGCCCCGGCACUUUCUUCACAGCAGCCCUGCCGCCUCCCGCAUCCUGCCAGCACACCUUCAGGGGGACCGGAGAGUGCACAUCUGCCGAGGAAUAACCGGGACGCUGCUUUUAGAAACCUCCCUCUGAAAUGCCACUCGGCAGAAGGACUUGGGAACAGUUUGCUGCUUUUCAGUUCCCUGAUUUCUUAAUCCUCAGCCCUGAUUUUUGUAAGGAAGCAUCUCCUAAACCAGCCCCCCCCCCCCCCCCUUCACAGGUGUCAGAGCAGCUCUGCACGGGGUCCGCGGGGCUGCAGCCUCGCAGAUGCAUUUAUGUGCAAGUGUUGGCCUGGCCGUGGUCUGACCCACCCGAGCUUGCAGGGCCCAGCCAGACCACACAUCCCCUGCACUGCUGGCACCAGUCUACAGCACCUAUCACACCUGGACCUUUCCCUUCAUCCUCCGUAGUGGGAAUUUCUCUCCCUCCCAGGAGCAUUUUGGGAGGCCCACGCAUGGGUGAAGGAUGGGGCUUUGCAGAAAAAGCUUGGCUUCCAUGAACACAAAAACCACGCCGCAAAAACGCAGCAGGUUCACCCGGUGGGGUCACCCACACCACACAGUGGGUUAGCCCAGGUGGGCUAACCAGGGGUCCAGGUGGUUGAGCCCAGACCGAGCCGGUGGGUGUUUGAAACACGGGGACCUCUGCAUUUGUUCCACGCUGUCUCAGGCUGGGUAAGCGAGUGCAUGGUGAGCUGCAACCUCCACCAGCCCUGUGUACGCUCAUGCCUCGCCGUGCAGGCUGCCAAGGAUCCCACCCGUGGGCCUGGCCCCGCUGUGGGCUUGACUCCAUCACCUGGCUCCAUCUUCUCCAGGUCCUCACCAAGAGCCUGAGAGAGGCCCCAUCACCCCCACCUCUAUGGGCAGAGGUGUCCCAGGGUUCCAGGAGUUAUCAGGGUGCAUUAGGGGGGACCAGACCCAUCGUCAGGAUCGAGCUUGUGGGCGCCUCUGCGAUUUAAACACAGCAGAAACCCAGAGCAGAGGGACCGGUUUCACCCCACGUGUCAAAAAAAGGUGAGGACCCAACCACCCCAUAGCAUCUUAGCAAUGGCCAGGCAAAUCUGCUCGGCUCAACCCGCCCCAUCAGCUCCAAAAAAUACCAGAGAAAGGCAAAACACCCCGAUGUAGAAUCAUGAAAACUGUUACAAUGGCGCCGAGGUCCUGCCUGGCUCUCGACCAGGUGGAGUUUUGCGACGAAUCAAUUUUAGAUUAAAAAAGGUCAAUAUAGCACAUCAAGGUGCUUCCCUAGAAGGCGAGGAGAUAACUUCAUUUGCAAGUGAGUGGGAAACAAGCCCAGCUUUUUGUCUUUUGCUCCACUCAUAACCUGCUGCCCUCCAGACCCCACAACCCUUGGCUUUUUUUUUUUCAAGAAAAAUCUCUGAUGACCAAAAUUAUGGAGGAAAUAUUCAGAGCUAAUUAAAUCAGGGUCAUGUUAUUCAUUCAUGGGGAUGGGGGGGGAGCUGUGAAGGUGCCUGUUUUCAUGUGCACCCAGAGCUGCCACCAAGCCCUGGCAGGCCUCAGUUUCCCCAACACCCACUGCGAUGGUGGAGCCCCAUCCCAAAUCCUGCAUCCCUGCACUCCAGGAGCCUGGGUACAGCUCCCACCCCCAUCCCGGCCCUUUGGAAUGGAGAUGGGAGAGGAGCUGCCCCCCUCCCUGGGGCUGAGCCGCCACUUUGGUGCCACCCCACAUCCCAUGGGGGGUGACAGGAGAUGUCCCUCAUGGCCACCACUGAGGUCACCAGCCACGGGGACAUCCUCACACCGGGUUUUUGCACAGCAGGAGAUGAUGGCUCUGCCUCGGUGCUGGCAGCGGGGCUGAAUCCAGCUUGGCCAGGCCACAGGACAGGAGGAGCCAUGUGGGAUCACUUCCCCAGGUACACAGAAUCAUCUCCUUCCACCAAAAAGGGGUGUUUUAAGUGAAAAAAAGCCUGGAUCCUUACGCCUGAGAGAGAUGUCUCUGCCAGGGCUAUAAACAGAACACAUGGAAACAGGGUGUUUUCACUAAACUGGUAUUUUUACCCAAAAAUGUCUAUUUUUUGCUCAAGAAAACCAACACAGGGAUUGUUCUUUUUAAAUUUUUUAUUUUUUCCCCCCCCUCAAAAAUUUCUGGCACAGAAGGAAGUCACACCACCAGCUCCCCUUCCUCAGCUGCAGGUAGGGAUGGGCCAUGGAGAGCUGGGCCCCUGCCGGGACACCGGGACUUCAGGCACUUGUAUCCAUCACCAGAAUUAUUAAGUAUUUCCAAACAGAACCAGAAAAGAAAAUGUGACCCCCCAAGAUGAGCAUCAGCAAUACUCCCGAUGCAGCCAGCAAAUAGUUAUUUGGGGGAAAGAAGGAGGUGCAAAGCUGCUGCAAGGCAAGCCAGAGUGGCGAUGCUGUUUUCUGCCUUUAAAAAGGCAAAACAAGAAAAAAAAGAGGGGUUUAGGUUAAUAGAAAACACCCAGGGGACAUCACAGUUUUGCAGCCCCAAGGUCUGGCAUUUGAGUUGGCUUUUUACCCCCCUUCUCCUCAUGGGCUCUUGGGGUUGAUUUUUUUUCUUUCUUUGGAGCUGAAACUAAUGUCCAGGCUUGGACUGUGAACUCUUGGGGCAAAUCUGUACUGAAUGUCGUGCCAGGAUGUCCCUGGUAGAGGCCGGCGGGGAGGUGCCAGCCCACGGGAGCUGUGGAGGGAACAGAGCCAAAGGGGCUGGUGAGCAUCUUUCACCCACUCGGGCAGUAAUUAACGGCACUAAGUCAUCAGGACGAGACAAAAUGAUGACUUUUGGCACGCUCAUUGGCAAAGAAAUCUUCAAAGGGUCCUCAUCUAUCUGGGUUACGGUGACAGGUAAAAGAUAUUUAUUCUGAUGCAUUAUGUAAAUCAGUGCGGGGUAAACACAUGCAAAUCAUUGGCACAGGUCACGCUUAAUUGAGCCGGUCAGGUAAUUCCCCUUAUGGGGAGUGGAGAUGGGGUUUGUGCUUAGAUCAGGUUAAAUCCCUCCAGAGGCAGGUGGGUGGCUGGGUUUUGGCCGAAGAGCCGUGACACGCACACCUUUGCUGCUCAAGGGGUGAAGGUCUCUGGGAUUCAUGUUAAUAAGCCCCUAAUUAAGCAGAGCAGCCCGGGCAGUACGAGGGAGGUGGCGAGGUGCAGCCCAGCACCUCACGACGGGGCAGCCGGGCUGGAUGUGGCUCCUCUGCUGGGACAGAGCAGCUCUGGGACAGGGACAGCCCGGUCCUGGGGUCGGGGAUUCCCCCUCUGCCCCCGGACACCCCAGCUUGGGGUCGGGAGAGCUCCAUCCCCGUGGGCAGGGAUGCCCCAGCCCUGGGGUCAGGGCUGCUUUCUGUGAUGGGGAGCCCAAAUCUGGGCAUCAGCCCGCGCCCAGCACCUCUGCUGCUGGCCUUGACCCUGAACCCAUCCCUCCUCACUUCGCCCGGGAACAUCCCCAGCGACUCCAAACCCCACGGGACACCUCGUGUCACCCCACGCAGGGCACCCUCCACCCACCCAGCCCCGCAGGGCCCAGGGGAAAUGCCACGACAGAGCAAACCGAACCAAAGCGACUUCCCCAACCACCUCCAGCAAUAAACACGCAUCUAUUUAACCAACCUUUCCCUGAUUUUAACAUAAUUAGCCAUCAAGCCUGCCAGUCAACGUCAGCUCCUGUGGAUCACCGUUAAUGGAUCGCUGUUCAGCCGACUGUUAUUGAAUCGAUAUAGAAAUUAAAAUGCAUUCACGCCA